CGUGGUGGAGGUGGAGAAAAUGAAAGGAAUUGGGCAGAAGUCACAGGAGGAAAUAGGACAGUGCCAGCCUGAAGAGCAGGCCAGCUGGGAGGGAAAUGGGGGCACUAGGGCUCAGACUCUUGGCUGGUGGUCAGUAAAACCCAAGGGAUGCUGACAUUGGCAACAGGACCAGCAGAUUUGAGCCUGGCCUAGGGGCUGAGGUGUAGCUCAGUAGCAGAGCACUUACCUGGUAUAUGUGAAGUCCUGGGUUCCAUGUCCAGCAACACCAAAAACAAAACAAAACAGCCCCAAAUAUAAUACCAGCUGCUGCACUAGGGCGAGCAAGCUGCACUUCCUGCUUCUGCUGCAGGAACGAAGGGAACAACCCCCUCUCCUUGGGACUGAGAAGGCACAGUCAGGGAAACGGGUGCCAGGCCUUUCUGCCCUCCCCUGCAGGAUUUCAUGGCUGAGAGGGAAGCACAUAAACAAAGACAGGAAAACAAAGGAUUCCCUUGAAAAGUGCGAAUUGGUGCUAAAGUCAAGGCCAAAAUCUGUGGCCUGCGUGCUUUGGAGACCAGCCCUCCCCUUCUAUCAGAAACUGGCAGAUGAUCAUCUUUGCCUGUUAAUCCAAUCCUGGAGGAGGAAAAACAUCCCAAUGAUGGUGCCAGAGUCUCAGUCCCAUGGCAGUGCCCCAUCACCGCCAAGGACGAAAUGCAUGAGGGUACUUGAAAUGGAGCAGUGUCCACAUCUGCGGAUUCCACUUCUGUGCGGGCUCUUAGCGGGGUAUGGCCUCUGCUCAGGGGCCAUCCCUCCAGCCACCUUUGUCCAUAGGUCCUCCCCUUCAGCCUCCUCCAGCCCCAGUGUUAAGGGUUGAACUGUAUUCCCCCCAAAGUCACGUGUUGAAGCCCUAACCCCCAGGACUUCACUCAGAAUGUGGGGUCUUUGCAGAGAUAAUCAAGUUGAAAUAAGGUCUUUCCAGGGAGACCCUAAUCCAGUAUGUCUAUGACCUUAAAAAAAAAGAAAUCUGCACCCAGAGACACACAUAGCGGGAGAAUGAUGUAAAGAGACCCAGGCAGAAGGCGCCAUGUGCACGGCAGGGACAGAGUCCAGGAGCAGACUCCCCUCGGGGCUCUCAGAAGGACCCAGCACUGCCCACCCCAGACUUGGACUUCCUGUCUCUGGAAGUGAUGUGAUAAUGGCCCUGUGUAAGCCCCAGUCAGCGCUGUGUUACGCAACCCCGGCCCUUCCUCACUGGGUCCCUUGAGAAUGUGCCUUCCAAUGACCCACGUGCUCCCCUCUUGACUUCCCUGCUUACAACCAGCAGAGUGACUCCUGCAUCCCAACCCCUGCAACCCUCUCAGCGGCUUUCCAAUCUGAGACAAGCCUCCCCCAGGUGACCAACACAGUCCCCGAGAGGCGAGCCCUGGUUCCUGACACAGGCACAUGCAUUGUGGGCAGACCUGAGAGUGUGUCAACACCUUACUGAUCCGGGAAAGCAGCUGUAGAAGCCACACCUGGCUGGAGUGACUUGAGGACACAAGAGUUCUGGAUGUGAGGAGGUGGAUACUGUGAGCCAGACAGCUGGGGUGCCAGGAGAGAGGUCAGCGUGGAGGCUGAUGCUGGUGAGAAUGACAGAGGGAGCAGCCUUUAAUAAAUAUUGAUGAAGAACUGAUAAAUGAACGAAUUAAUGAGCCAAAUGUUAUUCCCAUGUGUGCUGUUGUCUGCCCCGCAGGAUGCAGCACGCAUCAUAAUAAUGAGCUGCACACAGAGGGAUGGGAAAUGGCGCCAACACACCAAUCUGCUCCCAUCUCUGAGCUACA
ensembl:lncRNA